rnacentral:misc_RNA from 1 species
GCCUUUUGUUCUCUUAGGUGGCAAUGAAAACAAUGAAACACCAUAUGCCUUCAGCUGAACUCAAGAAUACCUUAAUCUAAUUGGUUGGCCAUACAAAAAUUGUAAGAACAAUAUCUUAUACAUAAUAUUUGAUAUGGACCAAAAAAAUGUCCCCAUAAUAUAAUACCUCCUCCCUACCAUGUAUGCUCAAAGGUAGGACAAAUUAGGGAGGGGCUCAAUUCUUU